rnacentral:rRNA from 1 species
GACGAACGCUGGCGGCGUGCUUAACACAUGCAAGUCGAACGGAAAGGCCCUGCUUUUGUGGGGUGCUCGAGUGGCGAACGGGUGAGUAACACGUGAGUAACCUGCCCUUGACUUUGGGAUAACUUCAGGAAAAUGGGGCUAAUACCGGAUAGGAGCUCCUGCUGCAUGGUGGGGGUUGGAAAGUUUCGGCGGUUGGGGCUGGAAUCGCGGCUUAUCAGCUUGUUGGUGGGGUAGUGGCUUACCAAGGCUUUGACGGGUAGCCGGCCUGAGAGGGUGACCGGCCACAUUGCGACUGAGAUACGGCCCAGACGCCUACGGGAGGCAGCAGUGGGGAAUAUUGCACAAUGGGCGGAAGCCUGAUGCAGCAACGCCGCGUGCGGGAUGACGUCCUUCGGGUUGUAAACCGCUUUCUCCUGUGACGAAGCGUGAGUGACGGUAAUGGGUAAAGAAGCACCGGCUAACUACGUG